rnacentral:lncRNA from 1 species
GCCAACUCGAGUCGACUCGACUGUCCUGAGAGUCGACUCGGCGCUCAGAGCCCGAACUCCCGAUCUUCUGUCUUUUGGCUCGUCCAGUCUUGGAGUCGACUCGAACUUCCCCGGAGUCGACUCGGCUCUCAGUUUCCGAAACUAAGUCUUCUGCCCUUUUGGUGUACCGCUGCCUUGGAGUCGACUCGAGCUUUCUAGGAGUCGACUCGGCUCUCAGUUUCCGAAACUAAGUCUUCUGCCCUUUUGGUGUACCGCUGCCUUGGAGUCGACUCGAGCUUUCUAGGAGUCGACUCGGCUCUCAGACACAGCAGAUUGGUCUUCUGUCUUCUUUGGGGUCGCGGUUUCUAGGAGUCGACUCGCGUAUUGCGGGAGUCGACUCGAAUCUCAGAGUCCGAAAAACGUUCUCUGACUUUUUCC